rnacentral:misc_RNA from 1 species
UUUCCGUAGGUGAACCUGCGGAAGGAUCAUUCAUAAUAAAGUGUUUUAUGGCACUUUUUAAAAAUCCAUAUCCACCUUGUGUGCAAUGUUAGAUCUCGUCAAUCUUGGCGAGGUUUUUAUACAUCAACUCAUUCUUUAACUAAUUUGUCUGAAAUAUAUUAUGAAUACUUAAUUCAAAAUACAACUUUCAACAACGGAUCUCUUGGCUCUC